rnacentral:misc_RNA from 1 species
UCUCUCCCUUUCUCCCCCUUUUCUUCUUUCUUACUAAAAACUCAACAAAAAAAUCGACCAAAGUAAUGUGGUAAAAUUUUAUUUCCUUGAUAUGUUUUUCUCAUUCAAGAUGUCAAUUAACUUUUAUAGGAACCAUAGUGCUUUCUCUUUUUUAGUUUUUUUCUAAAUUUACUGUAUAUUUAAUGUGCAGCUUUGUUUGGGAUACAGAUAUAGGAGAUUGUUAAGCAAAAAUUGCAUAACUAAAUUUGUGUACAGUAAUUCGUUUUUCAAUUUUGUCACUAACAUAUUUAGGAAUAUAGCCUUUACAAAUAUGUAAUUCCUUGACUUUCUGGAUAUUUGUGUUAAGUUGGAGUUUUGCUGGUAAAAUAGUAAUAUGCUUUAGUGCAAAAUAGAAAUAUAUAGAAGUAAAUAUACAAAAUAGUUCCACUGUUUAGAAGAAAGUUUCUGUGUUUAAUUUUGAGAAUUAUGGACCCAGGAGUAUAACUAUCAAACUGGCAAGCUAUAUGUUGGUCUAGGCUUCUCAUCACCAAAAUGGCCUAGCCAUUUUGUUUUGGUUUGCCAACACUUAUGUACCCUUUAAUUUUUUUGUAUGCUACCGAUGUGGGACUUGU